rnacentral:rRNA from 1 species
UACGUAGGGUCCGAGCGUUGUCCGGAAUUAUUGGGCGUAAAGAGCUCGUAGGCGGUUUGUCGCGUCUGCUGUGAAAUCCCGAGGCUCAACCUCGGGUCUGCAGUGGGUACGGGCAGACUGGAGUGCGGUAGGGGAGAUUGGAAUUCCUGGUGUAGCGGUGGAAUGCGCAGAUAUCAGGAGGAACACCGAUGGCGAAGGCAGAUCUCUGGGCCGUAACUGACGCUGAGGAGCGAAAGCGUGGGGAGCGAACAGG